rnacentral:tRNA from 5 species
GGGCCCGUAGCUCAGUUGGGAGAGCGUCGCGUUCGCAAUGCGAAGGUCGCAGGUUCGAAGCCUGUCGGGUCCA